rnacentral:rRNA from 1 species
GAUGAACGCUGGCGGCGUGCCUAAUACAUGCAAGUCGAGCGAACAGACGAGGAGCUUGCUCCUCUGACGUUAGCGGCGGACGGGUGAGUAACACGUGGAUAACCUACCUAUAAGACUGGGAUAACUUCGGGAAACCGGAGCUAAUACCGGAUAAUAUAUUGAACCGCAUGGUUCAAUAGUGAAAGACGGUUUUGCUGUCACUUAUAGAUGGAUCCGCGCCGCAUUAGCUAGUUGGUAAGGUAACGGCUUACCGAGGCAACGAUGCGUAGCCGACCUGAGAGGGUGAGCGGCCACACUGGAACUGAGACACGGUCCAGACUCCUACGGGAGGCAGCAGUAGGGAAUCUUCCGCAAUGGGCGAAAGCCUGACGGAGCAACGCCGCGUGAGUGAUGAAGGUCUUCGGAUCGUAAAACUCUGUUAUUAGGGAAGAACAAAUGUGUAAGUAACUAUGCACGUCUUGACGGUACCUAAUCAGAAAGCCACGGCUAACUACGUG